AGUCGAGCGGGCGUAGCAAUACGUCAGCGGCAGACGGGUGAGUAACGCGUGGGAACGUACCUUUUGGUUCGGAACAACACAGGGAAACUUGUGCUAAUACCGGAUAAGCCCUUACGGGGAAAGAUUUAUCGCCGAAAGAUCGGCCCGCGUCUGAUUAGCUAGUUGGUGAGGUAAUGGCUCACCAAGGCGACGAUCAGUAGCUGGUCUGAGAGGAUGAUCAGCCACAUUGGGACUGAGACACGGCCCAAACUCCUACGGGAGGCAGCAGUGGGGAAUAUUGGACAAUGGGGGCAACCCUGAUCCAGCCAUGCCGCGUGAGUGAUGAAGGCCCUAGGGUUGUAAAGCUCUUUUGUGCGGGAAGAUAAUGACGGUACCGCAAGAAUAAGCCCCGGCUAACUUCGUGCCAGCAGCCGCGGUAAUACGAAGGGGGCUAGCGUUGCUCGGAAUCACUGGGCGUAAAGGGUGCGUAGGCGGGUCUUUAAGUCAGGGGUGAAAUCCUGGAGCUCAACUCCAGAACUGCCUUUGAUACUGAAGAUCUUGAGUUCGGGAGAGGUGAGUGGAACUGCGAGUGUAGAGGUGAAAUUCGUAGAUAUUCGCAAGAACACCAGUGGCGAAGGCGGCUCACU
rnacentral:rRNA from 1 species